GCUCAGGACGAACGCUGGCGGCGUGCCUWAUACAUGCAAGUCGAGCGGACUUUAAAAGCUUGCUUUUAAAGUUAGCGGCGGACGGAUGAGUAACACGUGGGCAACCUGCCUGUAAGACUGGGAUAACUUCGGGAAACCGGAGCUAAUACCGGAUAAUCCUUUUCCUCUCAUGAGGAAAAGCUGAAAGACGGUUUACGCUGUCACUUACAGAUGGGCCCGCGGCGCAUUAGCUAGUUGUGAGGUAACGGCUCACCAAGGCGACGAUGCGUAGCCGACCUGAGAGGGUGAUCGGCCACACUGGGACUGAGACACGGCCCAGACUCCUAUGGGAGGCAGCAGUAGGGAAUCUUCCGCAAUGGACGAAAGUCUGACGGAGCAACGCCGCGUGAGUGAUGAAGGUUUUCGAUCGUAAAACUCUGUUGUUAGGGAAGAACAAGUACAAGAGUAACUGCUUGUACCUUGACGGUACCU
rnacentral:rRNA from 1 species